rnacentral:rRNA from 1 species
AGAGUUUGAUCAUGGCUCAGGACGAACGCUGGCGGCGUGCUUAAUACAUGCAAGUCGAACGGAAUCCAUUCAGUGGUAACACUGAUGAAGAUUUAGUGGCGAACGGGUGCGUAACACGUGAGCAACCUGCCCCAAAGACUGGGAUAACACUGGGAAACCGAUGCUAAUACCGGAUACCCCCAUUGGUUCGCAUGGACCGAUGAGGAAAGGACUCUGCUUUGGGAGGGGCUCGCGGCCUAUCAGCUUGUUGGUGAGGUAAUGGCUCACCAAGGCGACGACGGGUAGCUGGUCUGAGAGGACGAUCAGCCACACUGGGACUGAGACACGGCCCAGACUCCUACGGGAGGCAGCAGUAGGGAAUCUUGCGCAAUGGGCGAAAGCCUGACGCAGCAACGCCGCGUGGGGGAUGAAGGCCUUCGGGUUGUAAACUCCUUUCAGUGGGAACGAAAAUGACGGUACCCACAGAAGAAGCCCCGGCUAACUACGUGCCAGCAGCCGCGGUGAUACGUAGGGGGCGAGCGUUGUCCGGAUUUACUGGGCGUAAAGAGCUCGUAGGCGGUUUGAUAAGUCGGGUGUGAAACCUCCAGGCUUAACCUGGAGUCGCCACUUGAUACUGUCAUGACUAGAGUCCGGUAGGGGACCAUGGAAUUCCUGGUGUAGCGGUGAAAUGCGCAGAUAUCAGGAGGAACACCAGUAGCGAAGGCGGUGGUCUGGGCCGGUACUGACGCUGAGGAGCGAAAGCGUGGGGAGCGAACAGGAUUAGAUACCCUGGUAGUCCACGCCGUAAACGUUGGGCACUAGGUGUGGGUCCCUAUCGACGGGUUCCGUGCCGCAGCUAACGCAUUAAGUGCCCCGCCUGGGGAGUACGGCCGCAAGGCUAAAACUCAAGGAAUUGACGGGGCCCGCACAAGCGGCGGAGCAUGUGGCUUAAUUCGACGCACGCGAAGAACCUUACCUGGGCUUGACAUGUGGGUUAAGGCGUGGAGACACGCUGACCUUCGGGUCCCACACAGGUGGUGCAUGGCUG